AGACUGGAUUUUUGCCUGACUACGGUGCUCAGCCUUCUAGACAAUAGUUAUGCUAAGGGAUUAUCUUUUAACAUUGUGCAGUUAUCUCCUUUGUUUGUUUUCUUUUUUCAUUAUUCACAUAAGCCAAGGGAAAUGAAAAGCAUCUUAUUUCAGGCAAAAAGGCCUGUGAAUGAUUAACUCUGGUUCCAUGCGUUGGGACUUUGCAUAGCAACCCCGUGGCUUGCAACGACAAAAAAGCUCAAGGCAGGAACAGCAGCCCAGGGACCUGAGACCAGCGUUCUCAAAUGAAGGUGAUCUGCUGUUAGAGGAGAAUUCUUCUGUCCUAGCUGUGUCUCUGUGAUCUGUGGAUGAGGGUGGGAAAGCACCACUCAGUCAAUUGGGGUGUACAAAAUGGAGUUUGAGAAGGUCUCACAUCCAGGUUGUUUUGAAGCAAAGUCCAAGCAUUGUAUCACUUCAUCUGCAAAUAUUUCAAUAAGUACCCAAAAGACUUCCUAGGAUAGAGCUUGGAAAGGUUGGAAAAGUAAGGAUGAUUGAACUUGAAAGGUGUGAAUGAAAGAAGAAUUAUCUUUUGGGAUGGAGAAUAGUAGCUGUUUUCAAAGAAGAUUUUAUUUUAUCUUUCAUUUUUGGCCUAUAAGUUUUGCAGAGAAUCUGUGAUUAGAGUAUUUAGUAAAGUACUAUGUAAUUAUUGUUCUGUUAUUUGGACACAUGUUUAAACUAGAAUUUUGAAGAUAGCAAUUAGCAAUAAUUAUGUAUGUUCUAGCCACUUUAUUCAUUCUACCUCUUUUACCAUAUACUUUAAAGAUAUCUAUAUGGUAAAAGGUAAGUGGCAACUGAAUAAUCACAAAUACAUCAACAAGUAAAGAGAUGCUUUGUUUUA
rnacentral:lncRNA from 1 species